rnacentral:misc_RNA from 1 species
GCUGGKAUGGAGACGGCAUCUUCGGAUGCUGACCUUUCCCGUGCUUUUUAGAACAUAGAUGGCACCAGUCAGGUGACCAUCGAACGCAAUACGUCGAGUAUGGCGAUUUGGUUGUCCUUCGAGCGCUAAGCGAGAAGGGCGGAUAGCCAAAUCCCGCUCAGAUAUGGCGAGACCCGCCGUCCACGUUUCUCUUUCUCACAAGGAUACGAACCACGCCGCAUCAUGUUGCGUGCUUAACGAAUGGGCCCGUAGCUCAGGUGGUUAGAGCGCACGCCUGAUAAGCGUGAGGUCGGCAGUUCGAGUCUGCCCGGGCCCACCAUUCGCUAACGCUCAUGGUGACCCCGGCCAGUCUCUCUAGUUUGUUUGUCCUCGCGAUCUUCGAUCGCUGCGGGCAAACGGGCCGGGCCCUUCGGAGCGAUCCGGAGCGCAUCGAAGAUGGGGGCUGUAGCUCAGCUGGGAGAGCACCUGCUUUUGCAAAGCAGGGGGUCAGCGGUUCGAUCCCGCUCAGCUCCACCAUUUUUGGAACUGGGGCGCCGGACGACCGGCGACGGCCUUUGGCCUUGCGAAGCUUUUGCUUCGUUUGAGUGCCAAAGCGUGGGUUGGAAUAUCCUUGGAAAAAAAAAUAGGUUUGCAUCGUCUCUAUCGUGAGACGGUAUGCCGUGUUCUCGCUUACAUUGUGAAGAGAAAAAUAUGUCUGGAAGCUUCCCAGGUGUUGAUGGUGAUCGAAGGGUGGGCCUGGAGACGCCCAAGCCCUGUCCCAAAAGACCCAUGAAGGGCCUACCCCACCGAAAGGGAAARAGGGUCUGGAAGGAGGAGGAAAGUUUUGUCCUUGAGGCUSGAUCGUUGUUGGGGUUUUCUUCGCAACCGCCCCUCUGAUGGUCGUGUCGGAAUUGGGUUGCCGGACGGCGCACCACCGGCAAAAUUUGGGAAAAGCUGGUCUUAAGAUGUGGCCCCAAGUCCCUCGGGGUGACUUUUGUGGGGCCCUUUCCAACCCUCCUA